rnacentral:pre_miRNA from 1 species
AAGAUACUUCCUCCGUCCAACAAAAGAUGUUUCAACUUUGACUAAAUUUGAAUGCAUCUAUACACUAAGUCAUGUCUAGAUACAUUCAAGUUUUGACAAACUUGAGACAUCUUUGUUGGAUGGAGGGAGUAUGUU